CUUAUCCUUUAAAUAGGGAUGAAAAUACUUGUCCUGCCUCUUUUUAGUGGAUAGUUAUUAGGAUCAAUUGAUAUCAUGUAUGUGGAAGUAUAUUAUGAAAUAUAAAACUCUCUACAAAUAGUCCACUCCAGCCAAAGGCCAUUGCUCUUGAAAUUUCACCUAUCGCCUCAGACAAGCAAGCAAGGAAUGAAUAGCUAGGACUGUGUUGUGUGUUUCCUGUGAGGCCACAUCUUAGUUUAGGUUCUUGAGAUUAGGAUCUAGAUGCAGGUUUACAUCUUCUACAGAUGCAAAUCUCCCCACAUAAAACAGAUUUCCAUGGUUGUUCUUGUAUUUGCAGCCCCUCUGAACAGACAUUUCAAAAUAAGCAAAGUCAUAAGAUCCCCAUUCCAGAGAGGGUCCUGCCCUAUAACCAGAAGGAAGUAAUGCUGCAAAGAGAGGCCAAGAAGAAUCCAGACAGACAAGCCUUGCUAAGAUUCUGCACUCCAUCUAUUAGCCUAAGCUCUUACCCUUUUGGUCCAAUCGUAUUGCUACACAGCUGUCUAUGCUUUGUUGAACCUAAGCAUAAAAAUGGACUGCUUUCCUGUAUCUUUGUGUGUUCAUCCUGAA